CCCUGGUUAGCUCAGUUGGUAGAGCGCUCCACUUGUGAUGAGAGGUCCCGGGUUCGAUACCCGGACCAGGCG
rnacentral:tRNA from 2 species